rnacentral:rRNA from 1 species
CAGUCGCCACGGGAAUACGUAGGUGGCAAGCGUUGUCCGGAAUUAUUGGGCGUAAAGGGCUCGCAGGCGGUUUCCUAAGUCUGAUGUGAAAGCCCCCGGCUCAACCGGGGAGGGUCAUUGGAAACUGGGAAACUUGAGUGCAGAAGAGGAGAGUGGAAUUCCACGUGUAGCGGUGAAAUGCGUAGAGAUGUGGAGGAACACCAGUGGCGAAGGCGACUCUCUGGUCUGUAACUGACGCUGAGGAGCGAAAGCGUGGGGAGCGAACAGGAUUAGAUACCCCCGUAGUCCCUGUCUCUUAUAC